CACUGGGAGACAUGGGGAUACAGACACUAAGAGACACUGGGAGAAAUGGGGACACAAACACUUGGGGACACUGGGAGACAUGGGGACACUGGAAGGACACUUACAGACAUGGGGACUCAGGAAGACCGGGGUGACAUGGGGCAUCCCCAGUGUCCCCCUGUCUCCCAGCCAGUGUCCCUAGUGUCUCAGUAUGCCCAUGUCACCCAGUGUCCCUGGUGUCUCUGUGUCCGUAGUGUCUCAGUGUCUCUAGUGUCUUAGUGUUUCCUAGUCUCCGACAGUCCCC